GGCGACACUUUUUUGCUAUACUUUGUAUACCAAACUUGAAUUUUUAUAUAAAUUGGCAAAAUUGUACGUCAAAAUGAAAAAAUUUAAACGUCGGAAACGUCGUAAUUGUCAAAUUUUGACUCGAACAAUUAUUUCAUAACCGCCAUAUUAUAUUGCAACCACCGAGUAACCACGCUCGGAAUUUUGGAUUUUUAGUUUUUUCUGCAUAUAUAUUUUCUGAGCCCUAAUACUUUAUUGUGAGAAUAUUAUUCGUCGCUUCUAGGGAUUUACUAUGGAAAAUACAGUGAAACGUAAUGUGAGAUAUCAAAAA